AAGGAAAUAGUCUAAUAAGAUAGCUGAUUUCGACUUAGCAGAUUAUGGUUGAACACCAUAUUUCCUUU
rnacentral:tRNA from 1 species